rnacentral:misc_RNA from 1 species
GAUGAAGAACGUAGCGAAAUGCGAUAAGUAAUGUGAAUUGCAGAAUUCAGUGAAUCAUCGAAUCUUUGAACGCACAUUGCGCCCGCCAGUAUUCUGGCGGGCAUGCCUGUUCGAGCGUCAUUUCAACCAUCAAGCCCCAGGCUUGUGUUGGGGACCUGCGGCUGCCGCAGGCCCUGAAAACCAGUGGCGGGCUCGCUGUCACACCGGGCGUAGUAGAUUUUAUCUCGCUCAGGGCGUGCUGCGGGUUCCGGCCGUUAAAAAGCCUUUUUUACCCAAGGUUGACCUCGGAUCAGGUAGGAAUACCCGCUGAACUUAAGCAUAUCAAUAAGCGGAGAA